rnacentral:rRNA from 1 species
UACGAAGGGGGCUAGCGUUGCUCGGAAUCACUGGGCGUAAAGGGUGCGUAGGCGGGUCUUUAAGUCAGGGGUGAAAUCCUGGAGCUCAACUCCAGAACUGCCUUUGAUACUGAGGAUCUUGAGUUCGGGAGAGGUGAGUGGAACUGCGAGUGUAGAGGUGAAAUUCGUAGAUAUUCGCAAGAACACCAGUGGCGAAGGCGGCUCACUGGCUCAUUACUGACGCUCAGGCGCGACAGCGUGGGGAUCAAACAGG